UGAUGCCAGGGUCAAAAGGUCUAAGCCCACAUGAGCUUGCUCAUAGGUGGGUGAAAGACCUUAGAACCCGCCCCGAUAUGAGCAUAAAAGUGGGAUGAUAAUCCCACGAUAUGCGAAUAUUGGGUAGGAUUGUGGGAGUUCGUAGCACGGAGCAAUCCGUAGGCAUCA
rnacentral:sRNA from 21 species